rnacentral:snRNA from 1 species
GUGCUUGCUUCGGCAGCACAUAUACUAAAAUUGGAACGAUACAGAGAAAAUGAGCAUGGCUCCUGAGUGAGGAUGACACACAAAUUCGUGAAGCAUUCCGUAUGUUG